rnacentral:rRNA from 1 species
UACGUAGGCAGCGAGCGUUGUUCGGAAUUACUGGGCGUAAAGCGCACGUAGGUGGGCAGGUAAGUCAGUGGUGAAAUCUCCGAGCUUAACUCGGAAACUGCCGUUGAUACUAUUUGUCUUGAAUAUUGUGGAGGUAAGCGGAAUAUGUCAUGUAGCGGUGAAAUGCUUAGAUAUGACAUAGAACACCAAUUGCGAAGGCAGCUCACAAAAACUGUAACUGACGCUGAGGCACGAAAGCGUGGGUAUCAAACAGG